ACGUGGCUGGGAGAGCUGCAGAAGUGCCGAGUCCCGGCCGGGGGCAGCCUCGCCGCCGCUCAGCUCGGGAAUCCCUGCCCCCCACCAGCACCUCAGUGGGGGAUACUGCAAGUUCAAGGUGGUUUAAGGCGUGAAUGAAUGAAGGAGCAAGCAGUAAGCCCCGACAGCAAGGCCACCACAGCCCUCGCCCCACAGGGACGCCUGAGCAAGGACCCAAGCAGGGGACAAGCAGGCUCACCCCGCCCUUGCGGGGCUGACCACGAGGCCCCGUCCGGUGGAACACGCCAUGACGAUCUGAACCUGCCCCAGCCCCAGGACUCUGAGUGCAGCAAGAGGGGAGCCGGGCUGGAGAGUGGGGAGCACGGAGACUGUGGCCUGGAUGGUGCCAGAGCAAACAGGAGAGAGGCUGCCCAACGCAGAGGCUGCAGCACAGACCAGAGGGUCCCGGGGCUGACUGGGUGGGGGCAGCUCCCAGCGAGAGGCCCCUGGGAUUUGGGUAAGUAGAGGCACAUGCAGACUCUGGCCACAGGGCACCUCGCGCACGAGGGGAGUUCACCACACAAGCUGAGCGGAGGGCGGACGCAGGAGAGCAGCGGUUUCUCGGAAGCCAAGGGCGGUCAUGGAGCCCCACGCCACAGCGCUUCCCACGGGGCCACACCAUCCGGUCUGCGGAGGGGGCUGCAUUGCCGGGAAGGACCAUCUGAUUCUGGAUUCCAGCCUCACCCUGGGCCACCGCUGAGUGUCCCAAGUGGCCCCUUAGCCCCCAGGGCCAGGCGGCAUCCCAAUCCCCUAGGGAUGUCUGUGCUCAGAAUGUGGCACACACGCCCCGGCAGGGCCAUCCUCCUCCUCCUGCACCCGCCACAGCCGUGGAUUCGGGGUCUCUAUCGUGGGCAGAAAUUCACACAGUCAAGGUGAGGGUCCCAGGAGCAGCUGUGACCAGGCCCCGGCUGCCAGGGAGAGGGGGUCUUCAGCCGACGGGGCAGACACCCUGAGAUGGACCCUUGUCCAGGGGAGGGCCCUGCCACCCACAAUUCCUUGGCAUUCCUGCACCAGCAGGACGGGCUGAGGGAGGCGCCUCACCAGUGCCAGCGCCCAGCAUCACUGUGCCCCGGUGGAGGGGGAGGCCCUUCCGAGCCUGGGCCUGGGUGUGGAUGAGGGCAGGUCUCUCACCUCUCUGACCUCAGCUUCCUCAACUGGGAAGGGGGGCCACAGCACCCCCUUAGGGGUGAUGAGGAAGUGGGAGCUCAGGGAGGACCCCGGGCAGGGCUGCCUCCUCACCUCUCUUCGGCCUUUGGACACUGGAGCUCAGAGGACCAAGUGAAUGAAUGAAUGACUCGAUCAAUCAACUGAUCCAUGAAUCCAUGGACCCCUGAACAGCUGGACAGCUGGGCUGUGGGCAGGACAGGGGACUCUGGCUGAAGCCGCGUUCAUAUGUGUUCAGCUUUGUGAGUGGGGCGAGGUUGAGGGCUUAUUCAGUGGGGGAGGUGCACGGCAGGGCCAGUACCCUUGGAGGGUCAGGCCACAGGGGCGGGGACACCUGCCAGGAUGCCCAACCCCAGAGGCAGUGGGAGCUGUUGGGGAGCCGUGGUCCCAGUCAGCGGUGGCUUGAUGAGGGCUGCUCCCACUUCAUCCGCAGGAUUCCAGCCGCAGCUACCCCACACCCGAGCUGUCCCUAGUCGCCCACCGCGGCCGGACAAAGCCCCAGCAGCCAAGGUGCUCCGUGGGGAGGGUUUCUUGGGUUUCUUGAAGCCAGUAUUUCCCAUAGUAUCUUACGUCCCAGCAGAGGCCUCCACUGUGCCCGGACCAGCGGCCCACUCAGUGAGUCGAGUGUGCACCUGGCACCCCUCUUUCUGGAAAUCCACGAACAAUGGGCUCCCAGCAGAGGACUGAGGCUGAGCAGGCCACUUCCCUGGAGCUGACCCCACAGCUGUGUAGGUACAGGGUGGCCGUGAACACUUAGGGCUCUCUCGGGCUGUGCGCUUCUUGUUCACUGCAAGGAGCAGGGUGUUGGCUCCUGACCAAGCCCUGUCACUGCUGCCCAGCCACACGUGGGGCCCCUUCACCCACCCCUGACCACCUCAUGCAGGUGAAGCCACUGUGGAAACAGCCUGGCAGUCCCUUGAAAAAUGAAGUCAUAAACCCCAGCAAUUGCACUCCUGGGCCUCUGACAGAGCUUGCACGUCCCCUCCAAAGCUCGUGUUAAGCUGUGAGCCCCAGUGCCGGAGGUGGGGCCUGGUGUGUUUGGGUUCUGGGGGUGGAUCCCUCAUGGCUGGGUGCCAUGAACCCACUCACCACAGUGAGUUCUCACGAGAUCUGGUUGUUGAGAAGUGUGUCAUACCUCCCCCACAACUCUCUGUCUUUUGUUCCGGCUCUGGCAAUGUAACAAGCCUGCUCCUCCUUCGCCUUCUGCCAUGACUGUAAGCUUUCUGAGGGCUGACCAGAAGCCCAGCAGAUGCCAGCACCAUGCUUCCUAUACAGCCUGCAGAACCGUGAGCCAGCUAAACCUCUCCUCAUAAAUCACCGAGCCCCAGGUUUAUCUUUACAGCAAUGCAAGACCUGACUAAUACAGCACCAGCUCCCCAAAAUAAAAAGAAAUAUUCAAACAAAUAAGCGCACAGAAGUGUUCCCAGCAGCACUAUUCACAGCAGCCAAAAGGCGGAGGAGCCACAGGCUUGUCAGCUGAUGACAGAUAAAGAAAGCAUGGCCUGUCAUCCCAGCACUUUGGGAGGCCGAGGUGGGUGGAUCACCUGAGGUUGGGAGUUCAAGACCAGCCUGGCCAACAUGGUGAAACCCAGUCUCUACUAAAAAUAUAAAAAUUAGCUGGGUGUGAUGAUGAGC
rnacentral:lncRNA from 1 species